GGGUUGUGAGGUUAAGCGACUAAGCGUACACGGUGGAUGCCCUGGCAGUCAGAGGCGAUGAAGGACGUGCUAAUCUGCGAAAAGCGUCGGUAAGGUGAUAUGAACCGUUAUAACCGGCGAUGUCCGAAUGGGGAAACCCAGUGUGUUUCGACACACUAUCAUUAACUGAAUCCAUAGGUUAAUGAGGCGAACCGGGGGAACUGAAACAUCUAAGUACCCCGAGGAAAAGAAAUCAACCGAGAUUCCCCCAGUAGCGGCGAGCGAACGGGGAGGAGCCCAGAGCCUGAAUCAGUGUGUGUGUU
rnacentral:rRNA from 1 species